GAUGAACGCUGGCGGCGUGCCUAAUACAUGCAAGUCGAGCGAACAGACGAGGAGCUUGCUCCUCUGACGUUAGCGGCGGACGGGUGAGUAACACGUGGAUAACCUACCUAUAAUACUGGGAUAACUUCGGGAAACCGGAGCUAAUACCGGAUAAUAUAUUGAACCGCAUGGUUCAAUAGUGAAAGACGGUUUUGCUGUCACUUAUAGAUGGAUCCGCGCCGCAUUAGCUAGUUGGUAAGGUAACGGCUUACCAAGGCGACGAUGCGUAGCCGACCUGAGAGGAUGAUCGGCCACACUGGAACUGAGACACGGUCCAGACUCCUACGGGAGGCAGCAGUAGGGAAUCUUCCGCAAUGGGCGAAAGCUUGACGGAGCAACGCCGCGUGAGUGAUGAAGGUCUUCGGAUCGUAAAACUCUGUUAUUAGGGAAGAACAAAUGUGUAAGUAACUAUGCACGUCUUGACGGUACCUAAUCAGAAAGCCACGGCUAACUACGUG
rnacentral:rRNA from 1 species